UACGUAGGGUGCGAGCGUUGUCCGGAAUUAUUGGGCGUAAAGAGCUCGUAGGCGGUCUGUCACGUCGGAUGUGAAAACUCGGGGCUCAACCCCGAGCCUGCAUUCGAUACGGGCAGACUAGAGUUCGGUAGGGGAGACUGGAAUUCCUGGUGUAGCGGUGAAAUGCGCAGAUAUCAGGAAGAACACCCGUGGCGAGGGCGGCUCUCUGGGACGGUACUGACGCUGAGACGCGAAAGCGUGGGGAGCGAACAGG
rnacentral:rRNA from 1 species